GACUCCGACUUCAUGGGGUCGAGUUGCAGACCCCAACCCGAACUGAGACCGGCUUUUUGGGAUUCGCUCCACCUUACGGUAUCGCAGCCCUCUGUACCGGCCAUUGUAGCAUGCGUGAAGCCCAAGACAUAAGGGGCAUGAUGAUUUGACGUCAUCCCCACCUUCCUCCGAGUUGACCCCGGCAGUCUCCCAUGAGUCCCCGGCAUAACCCGCUGGCAACAUAGGACGAGGGUUGCGCUCGUUGCGGGACUUAACCCAACAUCUCACGACACGAGCUGACGACAACCAUGCACCACCUGUGUACGAGUGUCCAAAGAGAACCCCGUCUCGGGGGCUUUCUCGUACAUGUCAAGCCUUGGUAAGGUUCUUCGCGUUGCAUCGAAUUAAUCCGCAUGCUCCGCCGCUUGUGCGGGCCCCCGUCAAUUCCUUUGAGUUUUAGCCUUGCGGCCGUACUCCCCAGGCGGGGCACUUAAUGCGUUAGCUGCGGCACGGAACUCGUGGAAUGAGCCCCACACCUAGUGCCCAACGUUUACGGCAUGGACUACCAGGGUAUCUAAUCCUGUUCGCUCCCCAUGCUUUCGCUCCUCAGCGUCAGUUGCGGCCCAGAGACCUGCCUUCGCCAUCGGUGUUCCUCCUGAUAUCUGCGCAUUCCACCGCUACACCAGGAAUUCCAGUCUCCCCUACCGCACUCUAGUCUGCCCGUACCCGAUGCAAGCCCGAGGUUGAGCCUCGGGAUUUCACACCAGACGCGACAGACCGCCUACGAGCUCUUUACGCCCAAUAAUUCCGGACAACGCUUGCGCCCUACGUAUUACCGCGGCUGCUGGCACGUAGUUAGCCGGCGCUUCUUCUGCAGGUACCGUCACUUGCGCUUCUUCCCUGCUGAAAGAGGUUUACAACCCGAAGGCCGUCAUCCCUCACGCGGCGUCGCUGCAUCAGGCUUGCGCCCAUUGUGCAAUAUUCCCCACUGCUGCCUCCCGUAGGAGUCUGGGCCGUGUCUCAGUCCCAGUGUGGCCGGUCGCCCUCUCAGGCCGGCUACCCGUCGACGCCUUGGUAGGCCAUCACCCCACCAACAAGCUGAUAGGCCGCGAGCCCAUCCCCCACCGAAAAACUUUCCAACCCACACCAUGCGAUGCGAGCUCAUAUCCGGUAUUAGACCCCGUUUCCAAGGCUUAUCCCGAAGUGGAGGGCAGGUUGCUCACGUGUUACUCACCCGUUCGCCACUGAUCCACCCAGCAAGCUGGGCUUCAC
rnacentral:rRNA from 1 species